AACAUUGUGGAGAGGAAAGCAUUAGGGGAGCCCACGGCUACAAAAACAAGUGAGUGAGAAGAGGUGGGAGGAAGAGAAACUACGCCACCUCCCCUGCAGCCGAGUGCACGCAGCAGCCUGGCGUGACAAGUGGGCGACGCCGGGGGGCAGGGAGCCGGGGUCCUUGGCCCUGGCCGGGGACCCCACCGCCCACCGCGCGGAGGACAACUUUUAGCCGGCAGCCCAGACCAGCGCGGCACCUGUCUCCGGAGUCUCCACCGCUCCUCCCGAUUCAUCCCAGGGAAAUUCUCAAGAAUACGCUCUACAAAUCUACGUGCGCAUCAUUUUCACCUCGCGUCGCGCCCGGGAGGAAGGAACGAGGCAAGGAGCUAAAGCAGCGUGCGUUCAGCCCUGGGGCAUUUUAUUAAUGCUUUUACGAGUUAGAAGAGUUGGGAUAAUUUGCCAUCUGGAGUUUCUCUGCCUUGCUGAUCUGAGCUCAGACCUGCCAAUUUACCAGAGAUAAUUGAUAACACCCUGUAACAGCUGAGAGGAAAAUGGAAGAAACGGAGAUACUUUUAGUGAAGCAGAAUAAACCACUGAACAGUCUGUUUCAUCUUCAUAAAAACGCUGCUUUCAGUGCACUGGAUUUAUUUUACAACCCACUAAUGGAUUACCCUACAGUUUGAAAAACAUUGCGUUAGACCAGUUUGACUGUUGUCAAGAACCAAAAAAGGAAAAAUGAGGAAGCUGUGAGUACCAGUGGAAGGAACGAGCCAGGAAGAGGGACUGGAACCAUCUCAGAAGCCAUGCCCCUCAGGCUGGAACUUGCCCUGUCUCCUCGCAGAUGAGGUAGGAGGCUCAGCACGGGCUGGUGGGAGCAGCCCACAGCAGCAGUGAGGGUCAGUGGGCCUGUGAGUUAAGAAGAAGGUGGCACAGAGCGAGGGUCUCUGGAUCCUGACUGUUUGACUUUUCCAUGAUUAGGAUAAGUAGCCAGGGCUUGGCUAGUUGGAGAGUUACUCGAACCUCAGGUGACAGUUGUAAGGCAGCACAUAGUGAAAAAGAGUCCUAGCCUGGGAAAGUCCAAAACCUUAGGUCUGGUUUCAGUUCACUCACCUAUCUCUGUGACAUAGCAAAGUCUGUUAAUUUCUCUAAUUUUCUGAUUAGUAGUAUAGUUGCAGGAAUGAAAUAAAAAUGGUCCUGAUUACUCAGAGAUUCAUUUACUGAUUACUCUUUUUGUGACCUGAAUAAAGAGUACAACAUCUCUCAAAAGGUAACAAUAUGAUGUUUCAGGAAAUUAGAGAAGUUAAGAGACUUUGCUGUAUUUACUAUACAGAUAGUUGACUGACAGCUGAGCCCGGACCCAAGAUUCAUUUAUAAAAUGAAGGAGUUGAGAAGUACAUACUCUGAGGUUUAUCCUAAAUAAACUGAAGUCUAGGCAAGUGGCUGAGCUAGGUUUGCCAUGAAUCAAUCUGCUGAGUAUAUUUCUUGGUAACUAGUUCAUCUUUCCUUAAUUCAGUCAACAAAUAUGAUAUCAAGUUUAGUAAGAUGAUGACAGUUGUCAUGUAAUACUCCAUCUGGAAGAUUGUAUGCUUCUCAGCUUCCCUAACUUUUCUUAAUCUACCUUAAGCUUCCUUUCUGAAAGGUUUCUGUCUUUCCUAACAGUCUCUUCUUUCCGCCAGCUACCUCUUGUGUUUAAGAAUUAAAGGAAGAUGAGCUAGGAAUCAAGAAAUACGCAGAACUGAUUCCUGUCACUGGCGCCACCCUGCCACUUGCCCAGAGCUGUGGUAUAAAUUUUUUUAAUAGGCUGAAAUAAAAAUAUGAAUAGCAUUUUGGUAUUAAGCAUUAAAUUGAUAAAGGCUAUGAGAUACACCUGCUCUCAACCAUGUUAAUUUUUUAUUAUUGGUAUUAAUAAAUUAUUACUUACUAACAUAUUAACAAGAAUUGCAUUGAGAAACAAAGCAUCCACAGGCCAAAUCUUCUGAAUUUCAAAUGUUUAUAUUAAUGCGUUGUAUUCUAGAAAAGUAGAAUUGUCUUAAGUAGCUUUGUAAUAUAAAGUCAUCUAUCAGCCCAUUACACCUAUUAGAAUGUUUUAACCUUUAUUUCCCACUUUUUUGUUUCUAGACUGAGUGUACUUGGUCUGGUAUUUGUGGCAUAACUUACGGAACACAUAAGAAUGAUACAGAUACUAUUUAAUGAUGACCUAAUACAAGCUUAGAUAGCUAAGGUGAAAGCUUCUAUGGCCUUAACAUUUUCCUCUUGAAGAAUGUAUUUUCUGUAAUAAAAUACAGUGGCUACUUGAAAUCUAUAAACUUAUGUGAGGUCUGGAUAAAUCUGAGCAACUUUCUUCUUUGUGCUCCAGGAACCUACGCACUAUAUAUAUAAAUAAAGCUUAAGUAAACAUC
ensembl:lncRNA LINC-PINT long intergenic non-protein coding RNA, p53 induced transcript